GAGUAAUCCAGAUAUGCGGAGACGAUACUCUCUUGGAGCUGGCCCUUUGCAUGAGGCUUCCCUUGCUCAGCAAUUGGGAUGCAUGAAAGAGGCUGCCUCAAGUGAUGAACUGUGCCAUGCAAGAUGUGCCAUGCAAGAUGAAGCAGACCCUUUUCUCCCAUGUUGCUGUUUGCAUGGUGUUCAUCACAGCAACAGAAAAGCCAACUAGAGCAGUAGUUUCUGCGCCCUCAAGUGACUUGAAUGCAGGCCUAGCAAGAGGGUAAGGAGCCAUUUGGCCUGAACUGAAAACCAGCACUGAAGAUGGUAGAACAGAAAAGAUAAAAGAAGCCUGCUUCCAUAACUACAGAACUGGAGCCAGCAAUGUUUUUUGACAAAGGACUAUAUAAUAACAAAUUUCUGUUUCAUAGACUUACGGGUCUUUGCCACAACUAGUCAAUUCUGCCAUUCAGAGUGAUGAUAGUCACAGAGACUAUGUAAUUAGUGAGUUCUGGUAUGUUUCAACUUGUGUCCCACUGUGACUCUGUAGACAGAAAAGAUGGAUUUCUUUUGAGACAGAUUCCCAUGUGUCAUGUGUUUCAGGGUGGCCUCAGACUUGCUAGGUAGCCAAGAACGACCUUGGACUUCUAAUCCUUCUGCCUCUAUUUCUCAAGUGCUACAUGCAUGUACCACCAAGUCCAGUUUAUGCUAUACUGAGGAGUAAACCCAGGGCUUUGGACAUGCUACGUGGGCACUCUCCCAACUUACCCACAUCACAACCCUGAAAUGUGAAUUCCUAAUAACUUUUUUACAUCCCCCCAAUUAUACGACCUUCACGGUACUAUUUCAUUUUCUACUGGGAUAGGAAUGAACGAGCUAGGCAAGCACUCUAGAACUGAAUCCAUUUUCACUGAUUUUCUUUCAACUGUUUAAAAGUGAUGUGCAAUUCUUUGUUCUAAGGCUCCACCAAAGUCGACAGAUGAGUGACUUUGGUAUGCUGUGUGUUGGCUUGCCCCAGCUGUGAAGCAUCAUCCUGUCCUCGAAAACUGUGCCUUAGGCUUUAUUUACAGGGGAGAGAUGGUUCUCUGUUGGUCAGGGUGGAACUUCCUGUGACUCAGCAGAACUGAACCCUGACACGUGGAAAUUCAAAUUCGAUGCAGCUGGGAAUGCUCCACCCAUUAACAAUCCAGACCAAUCCUAUCCAGGCUUUGGAAGUUUCUCUGCUUUUUGAGAUUUUUCUGCCUAAGACUCAAAGUUGCUACUGUCAUUGAGGAUCUUCCUCGGACUACUAGAACCCAGGGGUUGAAAACAGAGUAUUGCAAAUUUAUUUUCCCUUACAUGUGCACAUGCAUUCACACACCGAGACACAGUCUCUCUCUCUCUUUUUCUCUGUCUCUUUCUCUCUGUUCCCCCUUUCUCCUCCUAAAUAACAACAGAAAAGGGUUUCUUUGAAUUUAUAUAGACUACCAGCAGUUUCAUACUGAUACACACACAGUAAAGAUUGUGCAAAAUCAGUUUGCACUAAUGUAAUAGGACAUCUCUGACGUUUAUCACUUCCCUUACCGCACCCCUUUGUAAGUAAUAGAAGAAUAAAUGCUGUCUGUUCUUUGAGACGCUAAAGGGCAGUCGAACAAAAGGUUUUCUAUCUUGUAGAUAGUGUUUGGCUAUUAAGCACCACUCUCAAAAGUGUCAAUGUUAACAGACAUAUUUUACACUAAAACUUCAGCAAUAAAUCAGACUCAUCUGCACCAUGCAACAAGGGACCCGUGAGCUGCAAUCCUAGUUCCCUGUUCCUUCCGAUUUGAUAAAGACCUCAGUAUUGAUUUACUCAGUGCAGCUACCAAUACUUACCUCCUAAGGCAAACAGAACUGUGCAUGCAGAACACUGGCCACUGCUUAUUAGGGAACUAAUGUACCAGGCACAAAUCUGUUGUCGUUCAUUGGCUGAUUGCACGAAAGAGGAGGGGAAAGACUCCGAAUAUCACUCAGCUGCCCUUGCCCCAGUGACAGUGUUUUAGCCAUGGUGCCAAGUCCCGAAAUACAAUCUUUUGUAAGAUAAUCCCCUGGGUCUUUCCUUGGCUGGUGAACUCAACUUUUUUGAGUCCAUUGGCUGGAAGACCACCACCCCAGCAGAGAACAACCAAGGAAAACAGAUUUGUUCCGCUGUGUCUGCCUCACAUGCCCAGUUCAAGCUAGUCUCCCUCUAAGCAACCCUUGGAAGGUUAGUGCGGCUGCCUACCACGGUCUGGGUGUCCCUGGGUAGCCCUGGGUGGAGUCUGUAAUCACCUUAUUCAAGUUGGAGCUCCAAUCUUGGCAGACAGAGUAUUAGAGCUUAAAGUCAAAAUAUACCUCUUCUGUGAAGGCCUUGAAAGUCCCACCGAAGAGCCCUCUGUGCUGGGGGAGGAAAGAAAAGAUAAAAGCCAAAACCACGUGAUCUGGAGGACACUGUAAAUACGUACAGUCUGCCCAACUCACCAAUUUUGUUUGAUUAAU